rnacentral:rRNA from 1 species
AUUGAACGCUGGCGGCAGGCCUAACACAUGCAAGUCGAGCGGAGCGGCGGACGGGUGAGUAAUGCCUAGGAAUCUGCCUGGUAGUGGGGGAUAAAGUCCGGAAAGGGGCGCUAAUACCACAUACUAUCAGAUGAGCCUAGGUCGGAUUAGCUGGUUGGUGGGGUAAAGGCUUAGCAAGGCGACGAUGCGUAACUGGGCUGAGAGGAUGAUCAGUAACACUGGAACUGAGACACGGUCCAGACUCCUACGGGAGGCAGCAGUGGGGAAUAUUGCACAAUGGGCGCAAGCCUGAUGCAGCCAUGCCGCGUGUAUGAAGAAGGCCUUCGGGUUGUAAAGUACUUUCAGCGGGGAGGCGUUACCCGCAGAAGAAGCACCGGCUAACUCCGUGCCAGCCGCCGCGGUAAUUC